rnacentral:ribozyme from 1 species
AGUGGCGACACACGGGUGCACAAUGCAUCGCUUGGCCAUUGGGAAGGUCUGAGGAAAGGUGACUAACCGCCGAGAGGCGGGUCGCACGAAAGUGCGGUGUGGCCUACCAGCAAUCUGGUGCCUGCGAACUGGUCUUUGGUCGGACGAUGCCCCCUCUGGGGGGCUGACGACAUGCCAGGUCGUUUGGAUGAGAACGAGGUCACUCGCCAGCCGUGAAAAGUGCAAUACGCGAG